CUGGGUGUCCCUUGACGUCACUGACCAAAUAUGGACUUGGCCUUAAGAAAAGAGGGAACUCCAGAAAUAGAAGAAGUGGAGCCGCGGGGGAAAUGAGAUGCGGGAUUCGGAAUUCCGGCCGCGGUGUCUCCAUAAAAGGUCCUCCGGUGAGGUGGCAGGAGCUCCGGCUGCUUAUAUGGCCGCUAUCCGGGGGAGCGGAGCCGGCGGAGCCCACACACCGCCGGCAGGGAGCGGCUGGGGGCCGGCCUGAACCCCGAGACAUCCAACCAUCCGAUCAUCCAACCAUCCGAUCAUCCAACUGACCAUCCAUCCAUCCAUCCAUCCGGUCAUCCAUCCAUCCAUCCAUCCAUCCAUCCAUCCAUCCAUCCAUCCAUCCAUCCAUCAGGUCCUGGUCUCCCCUGGAUCUCCUCCUCACCAUUAAAUCAUUAUUUUAAAACUGCAGUUUGAUUUUUCUCAGGUCAUCUUUGAUGUUAAAUAUUUUAUGUCUAAAGGUUUUGUUGUGACAUUAAAAUGUAGUGUAGCAGAACCAGAACCAGUGCUGUCAGAACCGCAGUUCCACUCAGAAUCAUUCUGAGGGCCACAAAUGGCCCCGAGCCACACUUUAGGUACCCUGAUCUAAAGCUCAUCCCAUAACACCAUAACUGCAUGUUAGUAUUAUAUAGAAUAAUUACUUAUUACACAAAAAUGACCAAAAAAGAGAAAAACCACCAAAAAAAAAAAAACUUAAGAGAAAUCUUGCAGGUUUCCAUGGCAUGAUGCUGCCACUGCCGUGUUUCACAGCUGAAGUUCUGCAUGUUGGUCAGAAAGUUCUGAUCUCAUUUGACUGGAGGACUUUUAUUGUUUCCUUCUUGUUUUAUUUCAGCAGAUCCAGGAGCCACAUCGGCACGCCGCACCGUUCAGAUUUAAACAGGAGAAAUGUUCCUCGUGCCUCCAGUUCGCUCUGCUCUGUUUGUGCUGAAUCUGAGAGCAGGAGGACUCUGCAGCCUUUCAACGCCCACAGAUCCAAAAAUGUUGCCGUGCAUUGUCGCUGUGUGGCGAGCCGCCCACCCCGUGGCAGAUGGGGGUUUGCUUUCAUCGAACCUGAAAACACAGAAAGCAGCAUUCCUCCGUGUUUUCAACCAAAAGAGUCACCAUGAAGCUGCAGAAACAAACUAAAAACCAAACCUCCAGGUUUUCUGACCCAAACGUGAGAAAAGAUCAGUUCUGGACGGACUCACCGCUUUUGGGUCGCCUGAGAGAAGACGAAGGCUUCAGGAGAGGAAGACGAGGAGCUCCUCUUCGUCACCCAGAAGUUACCCGCUCCUCUGGAUCUCUGGAUCUGCGGCUCGGCCCGGCAGGACGGGGGGAAAAGAGGGUCCAUCCGGGUCCCGAGUGGGCCGCCGAUCACAAAAAGACUCGGAGAGGCCGGGAACGAGUGGGAGGGAGGGAACAAUGCCGUUCCCACCUCAGUUUGCUGCCACCCUCGCAGUUAGAAUAGUUAUGGAAAUGAGGCGGACCUCAGACUGGAACCUCCUGCAACCUAAAAUCAGCCUUUCUGCUGGACGGAAAACGUUCACCAUCUUCCUUCAGGCCUGGCCUAGUUAAAGCAAAUCCACCCUGGAAGCAGGCUGCAGUAUGCUAAAAGAACCUUAAAGGUCAUCAUGAGACAUUCAGCAGACUCUAACUCAUGUUGAUAUGAAGUCAGAGACACAGAUUUAACGUUAAUGCAAAGAAGAAAUUUACUUUCUAAAAACCCUAAAGAUCUUCCUGAAAAAACGAAAACGAUGUUAACGACAAACUAAAGACUUCAGUGGAGCACGGAGGAGGAGGAGUCAUGGCAGGGGAUGGUUUCAGGACCUACACAGUUUCAGUUGUUACAGUUAGGAACCAGAGAUCAGGCUGAACCCUGGACCUUCACAGACACAUAAAGACAGUUACAAAGUCGGCCUUCCAUCAGCUGGAGAACGUUUCCAGGACACAUUGAAGAUCUGCUGCUGUUGGAUCAACCUUCAGACCACUCUGGUUCUGGUUCUGGUUCUGGUUCUGCUCUGACCAACCAGAUCCAGAAGCAGAACUAAACAUAUAGAAGCAGCAUUCAGCUUCUAUGGACCAUAAAUCUGGAAUAAGCUUCAAGAAAACUGAAGACCUGCUGAAACACUGAGUUCCUGUAAAUCAAUGCUGAACUCAGCUGCUUUUGAACCAGAAUAAAUGAAACACUGACCAACAUUUUGAUGUGUGUUGAUUUUUUAUUAUGGUGUUCACAGCUGUUAACUGUAUGAUGAGGUUUUGAUGCUCAGGUAUGAUUAUGAAGUAUGUUUGACUAAAGUUUCUGGCUGUUUUAUCCACUGUGGGUAAAUUUACUGAAUAAAGAACAAACAUAUUUUAACCAAAAAUGAACCAGAUACAGAUCUACAGUUUACAUUGAAGUGAGACCUCCUGUUGGUAUACCAUCUUUGUUU